UUGGCGAAUGCCUGAGGAACUACAUCCACACUGACUGUCGCAGGUUCGAAUCCUGCCUGUCCCCAGCAACGGGGCGGUAGCUCAGCUCGGUAGAGCUUCAGACCAUGUUUCUCGACUCCUUGUCGCCACUUC
rnacentral:Y_RNA from 1 species